CCAAGGCUAAAUACUCCUGACUGACCGAUAGUGAACCAGUACCGUGAGGGAAAGGCGAAAAGAACCCCGGCGAGGGGAGUGAAAAAGAACCUGAAACCGUGUACGUACAAGCAGUGGGAGCACAGGUUUACCUGUGUGACUGCGUACCUUUUGUAUAAUGGGUCAGCGACUUAUAUUCUGUAGCAAGGUUAACCGCAUAGGGGAGCCGGAGGGAAACCGAGUCUUAAUUGGGCGUUAAGUUGCAGGGUAUAGACCCGAAACCCGGUGAUCUAGCCAUGGGCAGGUUGAAGGUUGGGUAACACUAACUGGAGGACCGAACCGACUAAUGUUGAAAAAUUAGCGGAUGACCUGUGGCUGGGGGUGAAAGGCCAAUCAAACCGGGAGAUAGCUGGUUCUCCCCGAAAGCUAUUUAGGUAGCGCCUCGUGAAUUCAUCUCCGGGGGUAGAGCACUGUUUCGGCUAGGGGGCCAUCCCGGCUUACCAACCCGAUGCAAACUGCGAAUACCGGAGAAUGUUAUCACGGGAGACACACGGCGGGUGCUAACGUCCGUCGUGAAGAGGGAAACAACCCAGACCGCCAGCUAAGGUCCCAAAGUCAUGGUUAAGUGGGAAACGAUGUGGGAAGGCCCAGACAGCCAGGAUGUUGGCUUAGAAGCAGCCAUCAUUUAAAGAAAGCGUAAUAGCUCACUGGUCGAGUCGGCCUGCGCGGAAGAUGUAACGGGGCUAAACCAU
rnacentral:rRNA from 1 species